CGAGGACGACGCUGGCGGCGUGCCUAACACAUGCAAGUCGAACGGGACUCAGCCCUUCGGGACUGAGUUUAGUGGCGAACGGGUGAGUAACGCGUGAGGAACCUGCCUUUCAGUGGGGACAACAGUUGGAAACGACUGCUAAUACCGCAUAAUACUUUCGAGCGGCAUCGUUUGAAAGUCAAAGAUUUAUUGCUGAAAGAUGGCCUCGCGUCUGAUUAGCUGGUUGGUGAGGUAACGGCCCACCAAGGCGACGAUCAGUAGCCGGUCUGAGAGGAUGAACGGCCACAUUGGGACUGAGACACGGCCCAGACUCCUACGGGAGGCAGCAGUGGGGAAUCUUCCGCAAUGGACGAAAGUCUGACGGAGCAACGCCGCGUGAACGAUGACGGCCUUCGGGUUGUAAAGUUCUGUUAUACGGGACGAAUGGCGUAGCGGUCAAUACCCGUUACGAGUGACGGUACCGUAAGAGAAAGCCACGGCUAACUACGUG
rnacentral:rRNA from 1 species